AGAGUUUGAUCAUGGCUCAGGACGAACGCUGGCGGCGUGCUUAACACAUGCAAGUCGAACGGAAAGUGCCCUUUGGGGUGACUCGAGUGGCGAACGGGUGAGUAACACGUGGGUGAUCUGCCCUGCACUUUGGGAUAAGCCUGGGAAACUGGGUCUAAUACCGGAUAGGACUACGGCAUGCAUGUGCUGUGGUGGAAAGC
rnacentral:rRNA from 1 species